rnacentral:rRNA from 1 species
AUUGAACGCUGGCGGCAGGCCUAACACAUGCAAGUCGAACGAGUGGCGGACGGGUGAGUAAUGUCUGGGAAACUGCCCGAUGGAGGGGGAUAACUACUGGAAACGGUAGCUAAUACCGCAUACCAUCGGAUGUGCCCAGAUGGGAUUAGAUGGUAGGUGAGGUAACGGCUCACCGAGGCGACGAUCCCUAGAUGGUCUGAGAGGAUGACCAGCCAUACGGGAACUGAGACACGGGCCAGACUCCUACGGGAGGCAGCAGUGUUGAAUAUGUCUGAAUGGGCGCAAGCCUGAUGCAGUCAUGCCGCGUGUAUGAAGAAGGCCUUCGGGUUGUAAAGUACUUGCAGCGGGGAGGCGUUACCCGCAGAAGAAGCACCGGCUAACGCCGUGCCAGCAGCCGCGGUAAUAC